UACGUAGGGGGCUAGCGUUGUCCGGAAUCAUUGGGCGUAAAGCGCGUGUAGGCGGUCCGGUAAGUCCGCUGUGAAAGUCGAGGGCUCAACCCUCGAAUGCCGGUGGAUACUGUCGGGCUAGAGUGCGGAAGAGGCGAGUGGAAUUCCUGGUGUAGCGGUGAAAUGCGCAGAUAUCGGGAGGAACACCAGUAGCGAAGGCGGCUCGCUGGGCCACACCUGACGCUGAGACGCGAAAGCUAGGGGAGCGAACAGG
rnacentral:rRNA from 1 species